AGCAACAUAGCACAACGGAAGCGCGCCGGGCUCAUAACCCGGAGGUCGAAGGAUCAAAACCUUCUGUUGCUA
rnacentral:tRNA from 1 species